ACUGGUGGGUCCGUUUUUGUGUCUUGUGUGCUAAAAUGAUAAUUGGGACAAAAUUUACUGACUUAACUAGGGAUUCAGAGAUCUUGUUGUAUUGGUAGAUCAGAGUCAGCUUUGAAAACCUUUAGGUUUGCAAACUUAAACGGACUUAGAUUUUCAUUAGGUCACGGGACAGCCACGUGCAGCCCUGGGCCCUAAGCCUCAGUACGCCAUGGCCCCCAGCGGGAAAAGAUCCCAUGCACCUGGUGACUAUGGUUGACAAAGUUAUUAGUUCCACCGUCAAGGUCAUGUGGUCGUCUUAAUUCCACUGUCUGUGAAAACCGCCAGUUCCGUCCGGAUGGAAGCUGCGUUUGUUCCGAUUGAUGGUGGAAAGAUAAAGGUAUCAGUCCGAAAUGAUCGUGGAUGAAGUCCUAUGCAGUAUCCUGCAGUGGAUUCCUAUAUUUUCCAAUCGUAUUUGGAGGAAUGGGUGUUUCCAAUAAUCUGGAAACUAUCAGGGCACCAAUUUUAAAUAUAGGCCAGAGUUUUUAGGAGGGAUUCUUUGAUAAUGAAUAAAAUGCUCAACUCACGUGGAAA